CAGGUGCGAUUCCUUAUGUCUUGAUUGUACAACCCGUUUCUUUCCUUCUCGUCGAUUCUCCUACAUGCUUUUCCUUAUGUUAUUCGAGAUGGGUUGUUAGAUAUAAUACGCAUUGAUCUUGUGGUUUCCUACCGAUUGAUCCAGCUGCUCCUGUUCUCGCGCCGCCAAAAGCGCGCAACCCCCAAUUCCCAUUUCAGUGCCAUUCUACCUGCUUGCUUCCAUUGCAUUCUCCCCUCAGAAGGAAUCAUGGUGGUGCAGGAACGUCGGCGCCAUGAAGGGUCAAUCAAAUCCUUGUAAAACAAAGCAGGAAAAUGAGUGUUCACCCACCCACCACCUUGCAAUACCAGCUGCCAUCCACAUAUAAAAUGAUUGUCAUGCAACCAUAGCUGCUCCAAUGUAUAGAUGUUGGACAUCGUCGAGACUGUCCUCGCGUGAUGAUAGAUUUGUAGAGCUAUCCAGGAUCUUUGGAUCGGGGGGAAGGCAUAAAGGCAUAUGUGCGUCGGGAUAUAUUGGGGUGAAUGCAUUUAUUCAUCCUCUUCCCCAGUAAGAA
rnacentral:sRNA from 1 species